rnacentral:rRNA from 1 species
UACGUAGGGGGCAAGCGUUGUCCGGAAUCAUUGGGCGUAAAGAGCGUGUAGGCGGCCCGAUAAGUCCGCCGUGAAAGUCCAGGGCUCAACCCUGGAAUGCCGGUGGAAACUGUCGGGCUGGAGUCCGGAAGAGGCGAGUGGAAUUCCUGGUGUAGCGGUGAAAUGCGCAGAUAUCAGGAGGAACACCAAUGGCGAAGGCAGCAGGCUAAACAAUGAUUGACGCUGAGGCUCGAAAGCGUGGGGAUCAAACAGG